GGAGUGCGGUCGCAAGAUUAAAACUCAAAGGAAUAGACGGGGACCCGCACAAGUGGUGGAGCAUGUGGUUUAAUUCGAAGAUACGCGAAGAACCUUACCUAGCCUUGACAUAUAUUAGAACACUUUAGAGAUAGAGUGGUGCCUUCGGGAGCUUUUAUACAGGUGCUGCACGGCUGUCGUCAGCUCGUGUCGUGAGAUGUUGGGUUAAGUCCCGCAACGAGCGCAACCCUCGUCACUAGUUACUAACGGUUCGGCCGAGGACUCUAGUGAGACUGCCUUCGUAAGGAGGAGGAAGGUGAGGACGACGUCAAGUCAUCAUGGCCCUUACGGCUAGGGCAACACACGUGCUACAAUGGCCAGGACAAUGAGAAGCGAUACCGCGAGGUGGAGCAAAUCUAUAAACCUGGUCUCAGUUCGGAUUGUAGUCUGCAACUCGACUACAUGAAGCUGGAAUCACUAGUAAUCGUAGAUCAGCUAUGCUACGGUGAAUACGUUCCCGGGUCUUGUACACACCGCCCGU
rnacentral:rRNA from 1 species